rnacentral:rRNA from 1 species
CCUACGGGCGGCAGCAGUGAGGAAUAUUGGUCAAUGGACGAGAGUCUGAACCAGCCAAGUAGCGUGAAGGAUGACUGCCCUAUGGGUUGUAAACUUCUUUUAUAUGGGAAUAAAAUGUUCCACGUGUGGGAUUUUGUAUGUACCAUAUGAAUAAGGAUCGGCUAACUCCGUGCCAGCAGCCGCGGUAAUACGGAGGAUCCGAGCGUUAUUCGGAUUUAUUGGGUUUAAAGGGAGCGUAGGUGGAUUGUUAAGUCAGUUGUGAAAGUUUGCGGCUCAACCGUAAAAUUGCAGUUGAAACUGGCAGUCUUGAGUACAGUAGAGGUGGGCGGAAUUCGUGGUGUAGCGGUGAAAUGCUUAGAUAUCACGAAGAACUCCGAUUGCGAAGGCAGUUCACUGGACUGCAACUGACACUGAGGCUCGAAAGUGUGGGUAUCAAACAGGAUUAGAUACCCGGGUAGUC